rnacentral:rRNA from 1 species
ACGAACGCUGGCGGCGUGCUUAACACAUGCAAGUCGCACGGAAAGGCCCUGCUUUUGUGGGGUGCUCGAGUGGCGAACGGGUGAGUAACACGUGAGUAACCUGCCCUUGACUUUGGGAUAACUUCAGGAAACUGGGGCUAAUACCGGAUAGGAGCUCCUGCUGCAUGGUGGGGGUUGGAAAGUUUCGGCGGUUGGGGAUGGACUCGCGGCUUAUCAGCUUGUUGGUGGGGUAGUGGCUUACCAAGGCUUUUACUGGUAGCCGGCCUGAGAGGGUGACCGGCCACAUUGGGACUGAGAUACGGCACAGACUCAUACGGGAGGCAGCAGUGGGGAAUAUUGCACAAUGGGCGGAAGCCUGAUGCAGCAACGCCGCGUGCGGGAUGACGGCCUUCGGGUUGUAAACCGCUUUCGCCUGUGACGAAGCGUGAGUGACGGUAAUGGGUAAAGAAGCACCGGCUAACUACGUG